rnacentral:lncRNA from 1 species
AUUUUGGCCGCCACUCUACUUUACAUAUUGAAGACUUAGUUACUUACAAGGGCCUUUUUAAUUUCCUUAAUGAUCCUUUUCUACUUCCUUAUGUGGAUCCCCAACCUAAAUAUAUUACCAUUUUCACUCCAAUAACACAUGUCACAGCACACAAAGAUGUAAUUGAUGCUAUUUUAGAUAAACAGGUUGUGUUGACCAAUGAGGAAGAUUUUGGAGAUGAGUGGCAUGAAUUUUUACUAUUGGGAGUUCAGUAUCGGUAUGUGAUUACAAAGAAAGAUCGUCCUUCUUGGUUGGAUCAUAUCCUUGAGGAUAAGCUACAACUAUCCUUGUUAUCAUUUGUGGAGUUUCGGUAUUUGGUCAUCGAGAAAGAUCGUCCCUCGUGGCAUGACUUGGAGCCUUUCACAUCAGAUUCAGU